AUGUCUCGCGGCCAUCGGGAAUUCCCCGUUUCCGGCUACAGCCGGGAGGGAGGGACGGACGGAGCGGCGAGGCUGAGCGGUGGUGGGUGGGGUGGCGCUCGGAAACGAAACUAUGCGCAUCCUCCAAUAAGAAGAAGCCGAGCGGCGAGGGGGAAAGCGAAACUUUGCCGGCUUGCCUUGCCUUGCUCAGCUGCUGGUGCGUCAGAGAGGAGCGGGCUUCGCAGAAGCGGGGAAGCCUCCUUUCUGCUGAGCUGCGGGGUAGCCAUUGCGGAGUUAAGCCGAGGCUGGGGGAAAAACUUCACCCUGGAUCAGCAAUUGCAUGAAAAGGGCUUUAAAUGCCCUGAAUGUGGCAGUGCUCAGCCUGCAUCUCACAAAUUCUGCAGUGAAUGUGGGAAGAAGUUAGCUGAGGCUUCUUCUACCAGCACACAAAUUGCAGAAAACAGAGAUGCAAAACUGACUUCAGUGCUGGAGAUGGAGCCUGGGGGCGAACUGAGAGUGGAAAGCUCCCCUUCCUUGGGAUCUUCCGUUGAUAAGCAGCCACUAACUGGGGAAGCACAAGGGGAGCCAGAAAAAUCUUUAUCUGAGAGCCCUGGGAGUCAAGCCUCUCUCACACAGAAAAAAGUGAGUACAUUUGAGAACAGGUUGGGCAUAGUGCAGAGAUUUCAGAAAUACAAACUUUCGCUUCCUGCUGUCUGCUAUGGUGGAGCUGUUAAGUGUGCUUUGCUGAUGCUUCUUGAAAUGGCCACUUGGUUUAAAGUUGCUGCAUUGAUAGGCAAGCAGUUACAUUUUGCUUACAAAUGCUAAGCUCUCUGAAAGCAAGGCUAUUUUUCAACAGGCAGUAAAAGUUGAGAACGAUGUUGACUGGAAUGAGUUGAAUGAGGAUGAUAACCCUCCUUCCAGAAAAAGGAAAAAGGAGAAACCAGACCUAUAUGAGGGCAGCAGCCCAUGCUCAAGCCCGCAGCAGGUAGUUUUUCCUAUGUGCAGUGAGUAAUUAAGUAAGUGAAUUGGUCUGAAGUAUCAGUUGCCAGUCAAGUGUCUGCUGUGAA
rnacentral:lncRNA from 1 species